GUGGGGAAUAUUGGACAAUGGGCGAAAGCCUGAUCCAGCCAUGCCGCGUGUGUGAAGAAGGUCUUCGGAUUGUAAAGCACUUUAAGUUGGGAGGAAGGGUAGUAACCUAAUACGUUGCUACUUUGACGUUACCGACAGAAUAAGCACCGGCUAACUUCGUGCCAGCAGCCGCGGUAAUACGAAGGGUGCAAGCGUUAAUCGGAAUUACUGGGCGUAAAGCGCGCGUAGGUGGUUCAGUAAGUUGGAAGUGAAAUCCCCGGGCUCAACCUGGGAACUGCUUUCAGAACUGCUGAGCUAGAGUACGGUAGAGGGUGGUGGAAUUUCCUGUGUAGCGGUGAAAUGCGUAGAUAUAGGAAGGAACACCAGUGGCGAAGGCGACCACCUGGACUGAUACUGACACUGAGGUGCGAAAGCGUGGGGAGCAAACAGGAUUAGAAACCCCAGUAGUCC
rnacentral:rRNA from 1 species